GCGUCCUUAGCUCAGUUGGUAGAGCAACGGUCUCCAAAACCGUUGGUCGUAGGUUCGAGUCCUACAGGGCGUG
rnacentral:tRNA from 1 species